GCAAAAGUGAAAGUCUACAACACGAAGUAUUCCCAGGCGGUCACCCAUCCAAGUACUAACUUCGCCCGACCAGGCUUAACUUCGGUGAUCAGACGAGAACCGGUUUUUUUUUGUUUUUUUUUUUUCUUAAUAACUUUAUUUACAUUUGUACAAUUUGUUUGAUUUCAUAAUCUAGUUUAUGUUUAGUUUUUCCGUGUUUUCAUUUGUUUCAAUUAACUGAAUGUUUUUUGUGUUGAUUUUCCUCAUAGUUUCAUUAACAGUUCUUCAUUUACAACUCUUGCUAG
rnacentral:lncRNA from 1 species